AUGAAGCCGUCGACGUCCAAGAAAAAGAGGAAGGCAAGUGAAGGAAUGUGCACUAAUCCACCGGCACCGUUGCUUGGACCUUUGGCCGUUGACAUGGAUAAGCAGGCACCACCAUUAAAGAAGAAAAGGCUUAAUAAGAGAGAUGCUGCAACUAUACCAUCAUCCGGAUCUUUGCCCAUUGACAAGGAUAGGCAGCCAUCACCUCGAUCUUUGCCUGUUGACAAGGAUAAGCAGCCUUCACCUGGAUCUUUGCCCCUUGACAAUAAUAAGCAGCCAUCAUCUGGAUCUUUGCCCGUUGACAAGAAUAAGCAUCCAUCACUAUCCAAAAAAGUGGUAAGGUCUCCAGUCCUUAACAAUGUCGUAGUUUCAUUCUUAGCAAGAAGAGAAAAAAAGGCUAAGUCACUAGAGAGCUCUCCAACGUCACAGCCUUCACUGCUAGCUCUGUCACCCAAAGUAGCAAACCUUGGUUCACGCAGACCACGAAAAUUAAAAUCAAAAAUUUGGAAUGAGGCAGAGCCAAUCUAUGUUGAUGGAAUGCUUGCACAUGGUCGUUGCAUUUAUUGCAACAAACUCUUUUCUGCCUCAAAAAAGUCAGGUACAAGUCACAUCGGUAAACAUUUGGUGAUAUGUGAAGAAAAAGCUAAAAUGGAUGGUAUGGUUGCCAAGAUACGAACUGAUAGUGCAAUUGAUCCAGAGUGGAAGUUUGACCAAGGGCGUGCACGUAGAGCACUGACAAAGUUGAUUGUGCAACAUGAAUUACCUUUCACUUUUGUUGAAUAUCCUGGCUUUAGAUCCUUUGUUAAGACGUUGAAUCCAUGGUUGAACGUGGUAUGCAGAGAAACAAUUAAACAUGAUUGCAUUGAUGCAUAUGAUAGACACAAAAAAGAAAUUCAAGCACUUUUUAGCAAUCUAAGUUCUCGAGUAUCAUUAAUGGGUGACAUGUGGACGUCCAAUCAGAAGCUGGGUUAUUUAUGCAUAAUUGCCCACUUUAUUGAUGGCUCAUGGACUCUACAAAACAGAAUAAUCACAUUUUGCCUCUUGGAAACUCCACACAACGCUCAUAACAUGUUUGACAUGGUGCAAAAGAGCUUGAGAGAUUGGAAUAUUGAAGACAAAAUCUUUAGCUUUACCCUGGACAAUGCACCAGUUAAUACCUCGAUGGUUGGCCACUUGAGAAAAAAAUUGGCAGAUAGGUAUCUUGUGCAUCAUAGUGGAAAAUUAUUGCAUGUUAGAUGUGCUGCACAUGUACUGAAUCUAGUGGUGCAAGAUGGGCUUGACGCAAUGGCGUCAGUUGUCGAUAGAAUCAGAGAAUCAGUGCAGUAUGUCAAGAGUUCGCAAGGCAGAAUGGAGAAAUUCAAUGCGAUGAUCGCGCGGGUGGGACUUGCUUGUAAAAACCAUCCUUCCCUAGACGUGCCUACCCGAUGGAAUUCAACGUACCUAAUGCUUGAAUCAUCAUUGCCGUUCAGAGAAGCGUUCGAAGCCUUGAAAGAAACUGACAAAGAUUAUAAAUCUGAUCCUUCAGCUAGUGAAUGGGAGAUGGCCGAAGCUAUUUGCCAUCUUUUGGGCGCCUUUUACACAGCCACAAAGAAAAUCUCGGGUAGGACGUAUCCCACCUCUCACCUGUACUUCUAUGAGGUCUGGAAUGUGAAGCAGAUAAUGGAGAAAGAAGUUGUAAGUGAAAAUCCUACCAUUGUUGCCAUGGUGAAAGAGAUGGAGGAGAAAUGGAUGAAAUAUUUUGAGGAGUCGUUCUUAACAAGUUGUCUGCCGGUGAUAUUUGAUCCGAGGUACAAAUAUGAAUAUGUUCACUUCCGAUUGACCGCAACUUUUGGUGGUGGCGCUGAGAAAUAUCUUACCAAGGUGAAUAGUGCGAUGAAGAUCCUAUUUGCUGAAUAUGCAUCUGAAUAUGAAAACACUUCUGAUGAAGGUGAUGAGGUUGCAGAGGAGGAUGGUGAGGGCACUCUUGAUGACUGGGAUAAGCAUUUGAGAUUGAAAAGAUCCCACAACUCAAAUGAGCUACAACGAUAUCUUGAAGAAGACCUGUUUCCUCGCCGACAGAAAUUGGAUAUCUUAAAGUGGUGGGAGAUUCACUCCCCAAAGUAUCCAGUGCUUGUGGCUAUAGCACGGGACAUAUUGGCAGUGUCUGCGUCUACAAUGCCUGCAGAGGCUGCAUUCAGCAAUGCUGGAAGGAUCAUCACUGCUCAAAGAAGUAGUUUGACCCCUAGUACUGUUGAGACGCUGAUGUGCCUCGAGGAUUGGUUUCGAGCAAUCGCCAAAAGGCGGAACCAACAGUUGGAGACCGUGUGGAUGAUCAAGAUGAUGCUGGAACAACCUAGGUAA
rnacentral:rRNA from 1 species